rnacentral:rRNA from 1 species
UACGGAGGGUGCAAGCGUUAUCCGGAUUCACUGGGUUUAAAGGGUGCGUAGGCGGGCAGAUAAGUCAGUGGUGAAAUACCUGAGCUUAACUUGGGAACUGCCAUUGAUACUAUUUGUCUUGAAUGUUGUGGAGGUUAGCGGAAUAUGUCAUGUAGCGGUGAAAUGCUUAGAGAUGACAUAGAACACCUAUUGCGAAGGCAGCUAACUACGCAAAUAUUGACACUGAGGCACGAAAGCGUGGGGAUCAAACAGG